CCUACGGGUGGCAGCAGUGAGGAAUAUUGGUCAAUGGACGAAAGUCUGAACCAGCCAUGCAGCGUGAAGGAUGACUGCCCUAUGGGUUGUAAACUUCUUUUAUAUGGGGAUAAAGUCCAGUAUGUAUACCGUUUUGUAUGUAUCAUACGAAUAAGGAUCGGCUAACUCCGUGCCAGCAGCCGCGGUAAUACGGAGGAUUCGAGCGUUAUCCGGAUUUAUUGGGUUUAAAGGGUGCGUAGGCGGUCGGUUAAGUUAGUGGUGAAAUUCUGAGGCUCAACCGUGGAAUUGCAGUUGAUACUGGGUGGCUUGAGUGCAGCAGAGGUAGGCGGAAUGCGUGGUGUAGCGGUGAAAUGCUUAGAGAUCACGAAGAACACCGAUGGCGAAGGCAGCUUACUGGACUAUAACUGACGCUGAGGCGCGAAAGUGUGGGUAGCAAACAGGAUUAGAUACCCUUGUAGUC
rnacentral:rRNA from 1 species